AAGACCCUAUCGAGCUUUACUAAAAGCUUAGAGUUCUACAUUACUAAUAAAAUUAUUCUAAACAGCCUCUAAGCCUAUUAGUUUGGUUGGGGCGACCACCUCUAAAAUAGUAUCAGAGGUAACCUAAUGGUCAUUUAUAAAUAAGAUAAAGGCUUAACUGAAUACAUACCUGUUAACCAGUUACUAAUUGUAGGGUAUAAUGACCCGUUGGGUUAGUUAUUAAACUCAACGAAUAUGAAAAAAGUUACCGUAGGGAUAACAGGGUAAUAUUUCUGGAGAGUUCUCAUCGAUAGAAAUGUUUGCCACCUCGAUGUUGAAUUGCGAUAACCUAAAGGUGUAGCAGCUUUAAAGGGU
rnacentral:rRNA from 1 species